CUCCUCUGUGGGUAAGAUUCUCGUGAGCCCUUUCAAAGAAGCACUGAAAACAUUUAAACUUCUAACAUUAUUUAAUCUUUAAUAGACUCUUAAUUGGAUUUUAAUAGCCUACUGGAAGCAAAAAAUCUCUUGUUGGUUUGCACUGGUAUGUAUUCAUGAGUUCUGACAAGCGAGAGACUAUUAAAGGGAGGGAAAAACCUGAGUCUCUUAUGGCAUAUAUGGCACAUAAACGUAAGGGAAACAGGAUAGAAACGAGUUAACGGAGAACAUUCAACAUGGUAUAGCUAAAUGCCUAAUCAAGAGUCCUUGUGAUUGUGUUGGUAAUAGUCAUUUUCCCCUCUUAAUGUUACCAAUGAAACAAUAUAAAGUGUUGGUAUAUUGACGAACGUGUUGGUAGGGAGGUUUCAAAGCAGCCCCAGGGCCAUGUUGAAGAGGUUUAGGCCUUGUGUUAAUGUUACAGAUUUUAAUCACUCCUGCAGUAAAGACAACCUGUCGGACUUGCUUAAAGGUUAGUUCCCUCAUCAACCAAAGUCAAUAAGCCCUUCUUUUUAAAUUAAUUACUAUUAAUUAAUUACUAUCUCAAACAGUUUAUUGGCAUUGAUUUGUCCCUUUUUAUACACUUGUGUUAAAGUGCUUUCUGCUCUCUAUUCUUGUUAUUUUUAUUUUUACCUCGGCUAGAGGCUGGUCAGAGAACAAUGUUAGUUUUUAGGAUGAGGCUCUUUAUUGCUGCUUUCCCCUUAUAUGCCACUUGCAUUAAUAUUUUUCAUGACUGGUAGACAAAUGGACAAAAAACACCCCUUUCGGAAAGCUAUCUAGGCAACUCUUUUGCUUCCAUAUCUGUGGUUCAACUUUUUAACGGAUUUCAAACUUUGGAAUUGGAUAGAGAGCCAGUUCUACAUGGCGUUGCAGUCAAGAGGCAUCCUUCCAUCCUCUUCUGCCAUUUGAGGCCCAGGUGGCAUCAGGGAUGACUUUGCCUAGCAAUAGCAGGCUCACCAACUAUGGGCGUUCUUGGACCAAGAUAGCUUGGUCACAGUGAUCUCUGUUUUGGUAACUUCCCAGUUGGAUUACUGGAACCUACUCCAUAUGAGCUCUCCAUGAAGGUAGUCUGAAAGCCACAAUUAGAGCAGAACGGGGCUGCCAGGAUGUUACCAGCUGCAAUUUUAAGGUGCUUAAAUUUAAGGUGUUUGUGUCAAUUUUUCAAGCUUUAAAUGACUUGAGAUAGACUAUCCGAAGAAAUGCCUCUCCCUGUUUCAGCCUGUCCACACUCUUAGAUGUGGAAGGGAGGUCCUCCUCAUUGUUCCACCACGGGGUCUUUUUUGUGUUGGGCCUUUUUUUUUGGAGUCGUUCCUGGCCUGUGGAACGCCCUUCCCUAUGGGCACUCCUGGCAUCAAUGCACCUGCUGUUUCAGUGCCAUGGGGAAAUCUGCCUGUUUACUUAGGUUUUCGGGGGCUGCUGCAUGUGGGGAAUUCAGGUGGUUCCCUUGGUGUUUAUAAGAAAAUGUGAUGUUUUUAUAAGCUGGUUUAGUGUGGUUUUGUUGUGUUGCAAUCUACCUGGGCUCAUACAACAGGCGAUAGUUCAGACAUUCUCUUGUAAAUAAGAAUAAAUGUGUAGGUUGAACCUGAGCUAAAUUUUGGCGCUCUUUAGUGCUAAAGAUCCACUGAUUAUUCUGCUGGCAUAUAUAUAUAAUGUGUGUUUGUGUGUGUGUUGUUUAAGUGAUUUAUUUUCCCUGCUGCCUGAAUGGUGUUUGUUUUCAUAGACAAUUUAGACAGAAAAAAAAGGAGCUGGGCAAAUCACAUAAGAACACUGCUGUUAAAUAAUUAAUCAGAGCAGGAAAAUUCCAGUAUUAAUACACUUUUUAUGUCAAAGAAGCUAAAAAAUAUAUGAUACUGGGAGGAUUGUCUUGCACUCUCUCUUUUGUGGCCUCUGGUUUUGUUCUGUUAAUACUGCCAUAGAUCUCUUUUUGACUCACUUUUUCACCGUUAUUGCUGGUGUAACAUAUCUGGGCUGUUUUGCUUCUCAGUCCUUUGUGAUUAUAUUAGGGAGGACCCUUCUCAAACCCACCUGAAACAAAAAGGGAGUAAUUAUGCUUGGAGUGCUGAAGAUGUUCCAGGUGAGUAAUAUUUGGAGAAGAUGUCAGCAACUUCACUUCACCCACCAGGGCACAGCCAUCUCUCUCUCUCUAGGGUGGGGCUGAGGCUGAACAGCAGUGCUGCCCUAACAAUUGAGAAAUGGAGAUGGAGGUGGUAUGAAUGAGUCACACAGAAGCCAUAAACCCACCUGUUCCCCUGAUAAAACUUUCUCUACGCGGGGCUGCCUUUGAAGCUGAAACUCCAGCAGGUGCAGAAUGCCGCGGCGAGGCUCCUUACGGGGUCCUUGCCGCGGGAUCACAUUCAUCCAGUGCUUUACCAGCUGCACUGGCUCCCGGUAGAGUACAGGGUCAGGUUUAAGGUGCUGGUUUUGACCUUUAAAACCCUAUGCGGCUUAGGACCCAUGUACCUACGGGACCGCCUCUCCUGGUAUGCCCCGCGGAGGACCUUAAGGUCCACAAAUGACAACAUUUAGGAGGUCCCAAGUCGCAAGGUGGUUAGAUUGGUCUCAACUAGGGCCAGGGCCUUUUCAGUACUGACCCCGACUUGGUGGAAUGCUCUGUCACAAGAGACUAGGGUCCUGAGGGACUUGACAUCUUUCCACAGGGCCUGCAAGGCAGAGCUGUUCUGCCUGGCCUUUGGUUUGGACGCAGUCUGACCCUUAUGUUUUCCCUCCCCUAUGGUUUUGAUCUAUGGGCUACUUUUAAAAUGAGGCUGCAUUUUAAAUUGCAUUUUAACCUGUAUUUUAAAUUGUUCCCCCCAUUAUGUUUUGACUGUAAUUUUACUGGUGUUAGCUGCCCUGAGCCCGGCUCUGGCCAGGGAGUGUGGGGUAUAAAUAAAAUUUAUUAUUAUUAUUAAAACAGAGGAUCCCCUGGAGCCAGUCGUGAGGAUCCUCUUGAGCUCCACCUCCUCCACAGGUCAAGGGAGAGAUGAUAAUAAUAAUAAUAAUAAUAAUAAUAAUAAUAAUAAUAAUAAUUUAUUAUUUAUACCCCGCCCAUCUGGCUAGGCUUCCCCAGCCACUCUGGGCGGCUUCCAAAAAAUAUUAAAAAACUGUAAUACAUCAAACAAUGGCAUAUGCUGUUUUUGCAGCACUAAAGUGACAUCACGGGGGCAUAAUAAUAAUAAUAAUAAUAAUAGAGACCUUGGGUGUGCUUGCCAGCCUACUCCUUCCAUCAUGUUCAUGAUGGCUUGGCUCUGUCAACCUUCAUGUGUCAGAGACUAAAUGUUUCUGGCAAGGAGCCACCUCUGAUCUUGAAGGCUUUCUUCACUGUGUGGAACCCUGUGUUAUCAAGGUUCUAAACUGAAUGAGAAGCCUCGAUUGAUAGAUCUGGCUCUCUCCUGCAGAGCUGGCAAGGGCACCUUCACCCCCCUCCCAUCAUGCAAUGGGCAAUGCCCAUUGAAGUGAGGUCUGAAUAGCGCUUGUGGCUCAAGGUGCCAUGCUCAAGGUGCUCUGACAAAAGUGAUUUAUGAAGAAUCCUACAACUAGGGAUAGGGGAGAAAUUUGAUUCAGUUUGCAUUCGAAGGCGAACUCGCCUAACUUGCACUGCCCCAAACAAGAAACACAGGUGUCCUUUGAAAUUCGUGCCGAUCUGAAUUUUGCAGUUGCUGUUCUGCAGCCAAGUGAGGUAUACAAAAUUGCUUGCACCAGGGUAAAGCGUGCAUAAGUGAACAGCAUGCAAACAUGCAUCCUAGGAGGGAAAAACAAAAAUGCAAAAGGUAAAAAUGCAUACAAAUAUGUGCAGGUGAAUUUCCCUCUUUAAAGAUAAUGAUAAUGAUAAUGAUAAUAAUAAUAAUAAUUGUAAACUGAGGUGGAAAUGUGGUGAACAAAACUAAAGCUUGGAAAAAUGAGAAACUGAGCCAAACUGAAAUGGACAGAUUUGCCCAUCCCUUCACCAGACUUUUCUAUUUUCUGCAACUUAACAGUGUUGCCCACUGGGAGAGCCAGUGUGGUGUAGUGGUUAAGAGCGGUAGUCUCAUAAUCUGGGGAACCGGGUUCGCGUCUCCGCUCCUCCACAUGCAGCUGCUGGGUGACCCUGGGCUAGUCACACUUCUCUGAAGUCUCUCAGCCCCACUCACCUCACAGAGUGUUUGUUGUGGGGGAGGAAGGGAAAGGAGAAUGUUAGCCGCUUUGAGACUCCUGAAGGGGAGUGAAAGGCGGGAUAUCAAAUCCAAACCCUUCUUCUUCUUCUUCUACUUUCCUCCUCAGUAGUUCACACUGCCAAAUUCAACCCUCAAACUACUGCCACUUUUCAAGCACUGCCCUCCUUGAGAAGCCUAACGUUUUUGUCUGAAGAGCAUAUGCAUCUCUUGAGGAUUUAUCCUGCUGCUUAGAAGUUCUUCAGUGAUUCUCAUCUCCUUUUUAAGGAGUGCCAGUGCCCAUAAUCAACACACUAAGGGACAGUUUGUACAAGAUCACACAAUAUUGUUUUUUGAAGAAAAGAGCAGGAAACUUAUGAUGAAUCCACAUCCUAGUGAGAUAGAUUAGGGAGGGUUGUUGUCUUACUUUACUGAAAUGUCAACAGCUUUCUGCUCUUAAAACUCUUGCUGAUUUUAUCUGUUUCAUGCUUUUAGUGUUUGUUGUUACAUCAUUUGAGCAUCAAAGUAUUUUUUUUUAUUGCUCAUUGCCAACACUAUUGAAAAUGCUUCUGCACAUUACCUGCUUGUGAGGGGAACAGAUUAAGGGGGAAAACACAGUCUUUUAAUCAUCCAGAAGUGCCAUGAGAAAGGUUUUUCCUAAUAAAUAGCCUAAACCAACCUCUUUGUAGUUUAAAAUAACCCCUUCACGAAUUUAUCUAAAGUCUAGCUGCAAAAGUUCUGAGCAACUACACAAGCUCCUAUUCUUGGUGGAUAAAGGUGGACAAUUACUUCCCAUCCUGUAUCUGAUGUCCUCUUAAAUAUUUGAAGUCUAUUUCUGCUAUUGGGUAAUAGAUUAAUAGAAUCUCAUCUGCUGUAUUUAUAUUCUUCUUUUCUAUCCAAACAGGCUCAAAGCAGAUUACAAUUUUAUCUCCUUGAAUACCUCCAGGAUAGAAUGCCUUUUCUUUAAGGUUUAACACGCAUAGAGAUGUUCUCCCCGAGAGCGACAAAUGUUUAACCUUAAGUACUUUGAAAUCUAGUCUUGGGAAUAUUCAGAUGAAAAUCUUCAUGGAGCUGAAGAUCCUCUUAGAAGGGUAUUGAAAGAAGCUGUGUGGACACUUGUCUCCUAGAUCCUUGAUGAUUCCUUUUAGUAUUCUGUCUAUGCAUUGCAGGGCAAAGAAAGCAGAAUGCAUUCUUGUCUUCCAAAUUACUUUUUUUUCUUUAAGGAAGAGUUCUGUUUUUGUUGCUACAUUUCAUUUAAAUGCAGUGACCACAACUGGUGACUUUAAAAGCCUCGGUAGUUUAGCUUAGGAUAAUAGCAAACAAACAGAAGAAUCCAAGAUGGAAGGUUUGUACUGAGAGAAAAGAGAGAAAACAUUUUCCCUCAUGAGCUUCACUAAGCACAAAGUGAAUCACGGGGCUCGGUUACACAGACUACAUGCAAAAUGCUCAGCUGUAUUAGGCGACCAUUGUGAAUAAUCCAUAAGUGGAAAUAAACAUAUGCAUUUAAUUAGGAGCAUACAGAUG